rnacentral:rRNA from 1 species
AUUGAACGCUGGCGGCAGGACUAACACAUGCAAGUCGAGCGAGCAGCGGACGGGUGAGUAAUGUAUGGGGAUCUGAACGAUAGAGAGGGAUAACUACUGGAAACGGUGGCUAAUACCGCAUACUAACGGAUGAACACAUAUGGUAUUAGCUAGUAGGUGUGGUAAAGGCACACGUAGGCGAAGAUCUCUAGCUGGGCUGAGAGGAUGAUCAGCCACACUGGGACUGAGACACGGCCCAUGCUCGUACGGGAGGCAGAAGUGGGGAAUAUUGAAAAAUGGGCGCAAUCCGGAUGCAGCCAUGCCGCGUGUAUGAAGAAGGCCUUAGGGUUGUAAAGUACUUUCAGCGGGGAGGCGUUACCCGCAGAAGAAGCACCGGCUAACUCCGUGCCAGCAGCCGCGGGAAUUC